rnacentral:rRNA from 1 species
CGCUGGCGGCGUGCCUAAUACAUGCAAGUCGAACGGUCUUUCUAUGGAAGCUUGCUUCCACUGAGAAGAUAGUGGCGAACGGGUGAGUAACACGUGGGUAACCUGCCCAUAAGAGGGGGGAUAACAUCCGGAAACGGGUGCUAAUACCGCAUAGUUUUCUUGAUCGCAUGAUCGGGAAAGGAAAGACGGCCUUUGUGCUGUCGCUUAUGGAUGGACCCGCAGCGUAUUAGUUAGUUGGUGAGGUAACGGCUCACCAAGACGAUGAUACGUAGCCGACCUGAGAGGGUGAUCGGCCACAUUGGGACUGGGACACGGCCCAAACUCCUACGGGAGGCAGCAGUAGGGAAUCUUCCGCAAUGGACGAAAGUCUGACGGAGCAACGCCGCGUGAGUGAAGAAAGGUUUUCGGAUCGUAAAACUCUGUUGUCAGAGAAGAACAAGUUGGAGAGUAACUGCUCCAGCCUUGACGGUAUCUGACCAGAAAGCCACGGCUAACUACGUGCCAGCAGCCGC